UUCUCAUUCGCUCCUCGUGCUCCACGAAACAACUGGAGAUCUCAUGGCGACGACGAGUUUCUCACCGUGCGCCGCCGUCCCACCGCCCUCUUCUCUCUUUCCUUGCAAUCUUCCCUUGGCGCCUCGAACUCCUGCUCGGUCGAUUCGGAGCGAUCGCUCAUAUAGAGAAAGAGAGUUUGCAGCCGUGGUUCUUCAGCCGGAUCCGCCCGUCGUGAUGGAUUUUGUCGCGAAUUAGUGCGGAACCUGCCCCUUGUUUACCCUCCAUCAUGGAAGGGGCUUAUCAGCAAUAACAGAGAGGGCAUUUUCAGGAAUGAAGCCUUUCAAGACCCAACUUAGCAACAAAAUUGAGCAAGAAUAUCUUAACAAUGUCAUGAUUUGUAUAUUGAGAGAGAUUGCUCGUGAUAUUGAUUUGGAAUAUAUAAUUGAUAGGUUUUAUCUUUUGAAGAACCGCAGAUUGCACCUGAAGCAUGUAUAAUUUUGUUGAUGUAACUUGCGAAUACUACUUUGUUUAUGUUUGUUUUGCUCAUAUUAUUUUGAAAUGAAGGUUUUAGAUUUUCCAUAUUUUUGGUUCUUUAUAAUGUAUACAUGAAGUCCCCCAAGAAAAAAAAACCCUAGAUAUGCCCCUAUCCGUGCCACCCAGUUGAAUUUAGUUUGAACCUAAUCCAAUUUUAAUUUAGUGUCCUCACAUCAUGUUCUAAGAUUUAAUUUAUCCAUUUAUUAUUAUAUAUUUUAUUUUUAAUAUUUAAUAUUGCAAGUAGCGAUAUUUCCUCGUAAAAGUAGUACCAAUGGAUAGCUUAGGUCUAGGGCUUUCCAAAUAUGUGAUCAAUAUCAAUUUUCCAACGACAAAUAGUAGUGAAUCAGUCAAUUAAAGUAGUCAUGAGGGCUUUUCAAAUAUAUAGUAUUAUUUUUUUAAAAAGAAAAUCCAGGAGGUGGUCGCACCCUCUCGUCCCCACGUGGCUACGCCACUGUACGUGCGUAGGGAGAAAAGGGAGAAAAAAAGAAAGAAAAGGUAUAUUUAAAAAUACCCUAAUUCAUUUUAAACUAAUUGAAUCUGUUUAAACCUUAAACUUGGUUCAACCAUAGCUUGACCAAAUCAACUUCAAAUCAAUCCAGGUUUAAACCAACAUAAGUAAUUCUUAUCUCCACACAUACCCGUUGGUUUAGUUCAAACCCGAUCCAAUUUUAAUUUAAUGUUCUCAUUUCAUGUUUUACAAUUCAGUCCAUUCAUUUAUUAUUAUAUAUUUUAUUUUUAAAAUUCAAUACUUAACAUUCCAAGUCACGAUAUUUCCUCGUAAAAGUGGUACCAAUGGAUAGCUUAGGCCGAGGGCUUUUCAAAUAUGUGAUUAAUUUUAGUUUUUCGACGACGAACGGUGGUGAAUCAGCCGAUGGUGGUGAGGUAUAGUAACAUUUUUAAAAAAGAACUUAGAGGGGUGGUCGCACCACUCGUCCCCACUUAGCUAUGCCCUAAUACAGAGGGAGUAUAUUGUUUGACCCAUUGUAUAAAAAAAGGACAGCCCGGUGUACGAAGCUCCCGUCAUGCGAGGUCCCGGGGAAGGAUCCAUUGUACGCAGUUUACCCUGUUUUUUGCAAGAGGAUGUUUGACCCAUUGUAUGCUGUCAUUAAAUAUUAAUAAAUGUUUGUAUUGUUUUUAAUAACUAACAUACUUAUGAUAUAUAUUUAUCAGCAUAUCUAAUUUAUACUUCAUACUUCAAUGUAUAAAAUAAAAUAUGUCAAUCAUAUAACUCAAAGUACAUGAAAUAUACUAAUAACUGUCAAUCAAUAAUAUAAAAUUGAUGACAAAAAUGUAUGCAUAUAAGUAAUAUCUGGAGUGAUCAUCACUUUCAAAAUAAUUAUUACAUCAACACUUAUAUGGUAGUUUAGGAUUUGAAAUCAAAUUAGUUUAUAUUAGAUUAUUUGAAAUGAACCAAAUAGUGUUUUUUAUAACCGCACAUGCAAACUAUAUGCUCCGUAUGUAAUCUAUGUGGUUGCUAUAUAGUUCACUUUAAAAUGUCCUUAAAUGUCUGCAUAAGGUGGUUUAAGCGUUUGUUUUUUCUAACCAUGCGAUGAAUAACCAAGUCCUUCUGAUACAUUACUACUAUUUUUACUUAUUUUUCUCUUAUUUUGUUAUCUAUCAAUGCUAAAUCUAAUCAAUUGUGGAUAAUAAUAUUUUUACCUAAAAACACAAGUCGUGUCAACUUCUCAUUUUGCUACAUUUGGUUGCCUCUUAUUGCCUAUAAUUGGAUUGGCACGGUCGCGGCAGAUAUAUAUGUUCAUGAGCUCCAAUGUAUUAUUUCUUUUUACAAGACAACCUCAUAUAGGUGGGACAUACAUGGCUUGAGGAUUGCGCAGACCUACAACCUAUUAAAUAUCUGAUUACCAACUGACUUAUGCUUCCAGGAAAAAAAUAAGCCAGCAUCAUUCAGGAUAGGAUCUCCCUUUUCUUUUAGUUUCCUAGCCACCAAUAUCAUCUUAUUUGGUGGUUCUUUACAGAAAUGGAGAUAAGUUCCAUUAUGACAUGUUUUCCUAUGAAUCUGCUAGUAAAAGAUUUGGAUGGCUAAGUGUAGAUUAAUCUGCUAAACUGGAUUACAGUAAGCUUUUGUUUAUAUUGUACAUGCAAAACUUGUCUUUCAAGUAUUGCUUGUUGUUUGCUUUUGUUAGCUUCUCACUAUAUAUCCAUUUUAAAAAAAAAUGCAUGUUAUUCAUAGCCAUUUUGCAGCCUUUGCUCAGUAUUCAGGAUGGGACUGUAGUAGCUGUAACGUAUCAAAUUUUACAUCACCUGACUGGGAUUUUGAUACUUGGAAUAUAAGGGCAGGUUAAAGCUUGUCAAGAUUGAUCAUGAUGCGAAUCCAAAUUUGAUUUAUAACUACAGAAUGUAUGGUCUGUCUGCCACUUGACAAUAUUCAAGGAUGGUGAAGAUGGUCCAGAAAGAAUAGCAACAUAGAAAGGCAUGAUCCUCUGAAAGAAUAUUUGAACAAUAUUUUUGGAGUCCAUAUCUAUAGCCUGAUAUCUUCUAAGCUUGAGGGUGAUCCAAAUUCUGGUUGAGUGUCAGUUUAAUUUCCAAACAAGCCCAGGGAAAUGGUUCAUUCAUGUUGUAGAUGCAUGUUUUCCGGAGAUAUUUAUUCUGUCUUGUACCUUCUUUUUUUGUAUUAUACUCCACUAUCUUUCAGUCACAAACCAUACACGGAAUAAUUGUUCUAAGCAUAAGCUUUCACAGCGUGGAGCUUAAAGAUGAAAUUUUUCCAGUUGAAAAAUAAAACUCCUAUUGCAUAGAAAA